rnacentral:lncRNA from 1 species
GUGUGGAGUUUGACGUGUAAACUUGCUAGAGAGUGUGGUCUCCGGCCCAGGGAGUGUCUAUGAGGUAGGACUUCAUGGUGGUUGUCUUUCAGGAAUGAACCUUAUAGGAGAUCAUCUGUCCCUCCUUCGAUGAUCAUGGCCUCCAUACACAGGAGAGUUGAUAGGAUUCUACUGGGUGACUCCACAGGCCACUAAGGGACUUCAGCCAUGCUUCCUGAGGCCUGGCAUAUCACAGAACUUGCUGGAAGUCACUUGUGAGGCAAGCCCUUGGCAAGCAGCACUGAGUAUGACAUUCUCUGCUGUGAUGGAGGUCUAAUAUCAGAUCAUCUACGUGACCUUGUCCAACAAGGACAGAAGUAAAUAUCUUCCAUGCACAUGCCAUCCAAUCCAGGCAACAGUCCAGGGAGGAGGACGGCUAUUUCUCCUCACACUGUGCAAGUGGAGGUGCAGAAAGGAGGAGCCACUGGGGCUUAACUCCCACCCAUCCUCAGCUGUUUUACAUCUGCUUCCUCAGGGAGGCUGCAACUCGAUUUUUUAUGAGGUUAAUGGGAAAACGUGCUGUCUGAUAAGGGCCCCGGCAGAAGAGGAAACAGCCCAGGAGUAGAUUUUAGCAAGAAAGAACUGAAAACUUGAGACUGGUGGUAGACUGCCGCAAGUCCCUUGCUGAUGUCACCUGUCCCCUCUUGCUGUAACAAUGAAGGCCUAUGCUUGCAUCUCAGUUUUGACAUGACUACCCAGAAGAGUCUACACAAGCACUCAACAGCUCCUACUUGGUUUAAAUCUCACUUCCCCUAUGAAGCCUUCCUGGACCUUCCAAAGGGUAUCUUUGAUGUGUGCUAACAUAAUCACUCAUAGUUGCCUAUAUGCACCCGCCCCCCACAAGCCUGCUGAUGCUAAACUUUCUUUCAAAAUGGGGAAGUAUUUGCCUACAUUACCCCUCACACAAUCUCUGUUAUAUCUCACACAAUCCUCAGGUUACUCAUAAUCUUAGAACAACCUGAAUGCUUUAACAUUUGUUAUACUCUAUUGUUCAGUAAACAAUCAAG